rnacentral:tRNA from 3 species
GCCGCUUUAGCUCAGUCGGCAGAGCAUCUCACUCGUAAUGAGAAGGUCGUCAGUUCGAUUCUGACAAGCGGCUCCA